CUAAAUCACAUUUCUUCAAAGGAGGCUCCUUUCUCUGUGAUAACUCCAGCUUGUGUCAAGUUGACACACAAAACCAACAAGUAAAAAUGUGUAUGAGUAUUUUGCCUUCGAGUACAUGUGUGUACCAUAUGCAUGCAUGCCUGGUGUUCACAGUGAUCAGAAGGUGUCAGACCCCCUGGAACUGGAGUCAUUUGUGGUUACAUUGAGUCUUGGUCCUCAGCAACAGCCAACUCUUUAGCCCUGCUUCUGCUUUCUAUGCCAGCAAUUGUAAACUUUCAUGGCUUUUCCUUCCAGCCCACCUCUACUCUUCUGCAAUAUUUUUACCCCCUACUAUAGGACCCCCUACUAUAGGACCCCCUACUAUAGCAGGGAUUUUCUAUGCAGUCUGAAAUUUCUGUUCUGAUGAAGGUCCCAGCCACAGUUGCUGAACAGAGUGAGUCCUAUCUCAAACUGUUCCCGAGGAGGAAGGGACCAUGUUUCAAGGGAGUGAGUAUACACAAAGUUCUGUGGAAAAAAUACAGUUUGUCCACUGUCACUCACAUGGGUGGGCUGGGAGAUGUUGGUAUAAACUUUUAUAUAGUAAUAGGAGUGGUGGAAAACUGUUCCCUUUCUUUUUGACCAGAAAACAUCCUGCAAUAGAGCAAGACUCGACUGGAGGAUCAUUAUUCUUCCCUAGCUGCUUCCAGCUAGCCCCACUUCCAAGAGUCUUCUGGGCAACCAGAAAUAGCCUGCAGACCAAGAUUUUAUCUCCGAGUCCUUGC
rnacentral:lncRNA from 1 species